rnacentral:rRNA from 1 species
GACAGAGGGUGCAACCGUUGUUCGGAAUUACUGGGCGUAAAGCGAGUGUAGGCGGUUCGGUAAGUCGGAUGUGAAAGCCCCGGGCUCAACCCGGGAAGUGCACUCGAUACUGCCGAGCUAGAGUAUCGGAGAGGUUGGUGGAAUUCUCGGUGUAGAGGUGAAAUUCGUAGAUAUCGAGAGGAACACCGGUGGCGAAGGCGGCCAACUGGACGAAUACUGACGCUGAGACUCGAAAGCGUGGGGAGCAAACAGG